AUUGAACGCUGGCGGCAUGCCUUACACAUGCAAGUCGAACGGUAACAGGUCUUCGGAUGCUGACGAGUGGCGAACGGGUGAGUAAUACGUCGGAACGUGCCCGAGAGUGGGGGAUAACGAGGCGAAAGCUUUGCUAAUACCGCAUACGAUCUCAGGAUGAAAGCAGGGGACCGCAAGGCCUUGCGCUCACGGAGCGGCCGAUGGCCGAUUAGGUAGUGGGUGGGAUAAAAGCUUACCAAGCCGACGAUCUGUAGCUGGUCUGAGAGGACGACCAGCCACACUGGGACUGAGACACGGCCCAGACUCCUACGGGAGGCAGCAGUGGGGAAUUUUGGACAAUGGGCGCAAGCCUGAUCCAGCCAUGCCGCGUGCAGGAUGAAGGCCUUCGGGUUGUAAACUGCUUUUGUACGGAACGAAAAGACUCUGGUUAAUACCUGGGGUCCAUGACGGUACCGUAAGAAUAAGCACCGGCUAACUACGUGCCAGCCGCCGCAGUAAAAC
rnacentral:rRNA from 1 species